rnacentral:rRNA from 1 species
GAUGAACGCUGGCGGCGUGCCUAAUACAUGCAAGUCGAGCGAACGGACGUGAAGCUUUCUUCUCUUAUGUUAGCGGCGGACGGGUUAGUAACUCGUUUAUAACCUACCUAUUUUACUGUGAUAACUUCGGGAAACCGCUGCUACUACCGUAUGAUAUUUUGAACCUCAUGGUUCUAUAGUUCAUUACGGUCUUGCUGUCACUUAUAGAUGUUUCCGCUCUGCAUUAGAUAUUUGGUAAGGUAACGGCUUACCAAGGCAACGAUGCAUAGACGAACUGAGAGGGUGAUAGGCAACAGUGGAAGUGAGAAAGGGACCAGACGACUAAGGGAGGGAGCAGUAGGGAAUGUUACGCAAUGGGCGAAAGCAUGACGGAGCAACGCCGAGUGAGUGAAGAAGGUGUUCGGAUCGUAAAACUCUGUUAUUAGGGAAGAAAAUAUGUGUAAGUAAAUGUGAAGAGAUUGACGGUAACUAAUAAGAAAGCAACGGCUAACUACGUG